rnacentral:lncRNA from 1 species
AGACGACCAGACAUUUAACGAUGACUGGGGAAAAGAUUCACAACCAGACGUCGACGGACGAAUGGGAAAAACUCGACGUUUAUCGACAUCGAAAGAUGAUGUUUACCGACACCAACAAAGGGAUGACCAGACAUUUACCGAUGAUUGGGAAGGAACUCGAUGUUUACCGACACCGAAAGAUGGUGUUUACCGACACCAACAAAAGGCGACCAAACAUUUACCGAUGACUGAGAAGGAACUCGAUGUUUA